UCUACAGUUUAAUUUCCAAACUCUUUGCAGUCCACCAAGGGCAAGGCAGAUGCCAGAAGUCAGCAUGUGAUACUUGCACCUGCAACUGCGUGUAUUACAGAAUGAUCAAAAUCCAUUCUAUGACAAACAUGGAGUAAAACAGAGGGAAUGGCAGACAACAGGGUAGAGUCCAAACCUGAGAGAUUCUGGAAAGGAGAGUGAAGGAUCUUCUAUAUUGGAACUCAUCAAAGACUUUUGAACUGGAGCAUAGAGAGCACUGCUUUGAGAUUGCAUGCUCCCAGGCUAAGCUGUCCUGCACUACGGACAGGAGUGGUGCCUACAAGGCUGUUUUCCAGGCCGCUGAAAUGCUGAGCUCUGCCAGUUUGUAUAAGAAGAGAAGACCAUCCAGGCCCCAUCAUCACAAACAAGCCAAGCAGUAAAUGUUUAAUCUCAACAGGGCCCUAGAGCAUCACCUUCACAUGUCACUGAUUGUUAGAGGCUUCAAAAUAGUUUCCUAACGUCCUCUGACAAACUAAGACCUGUGGUAAAGACUGAGAGCCAGAAUAAAUAAUGUGGCAAGUAAAGGGAGAAGAAGAGACCCACUGGAUGCCCGUGUUCAGGAACAAUUGUGCAGCAGGAAAAUUGUACUGAAAAGUAACAAUAGCCUGAGGAAACGAGUUGUAUCUCACAUACUGGAGAAGACGGCAAUCUUCCUUUCCCCAGAGAAUUCUUCUUGGCCCGAGAUCAAGUGUUUGGCUUAACACAGAUAUCAUGAACAAGAUACAGUACAAGAUUUAACACUGCUAGGAUCUGCAAAACAUGCUGUCAUGUCAGUAUCACACCUAGGACCUCAACAUUCUCAUGUCUUUUCCCAGUACUUAUUUUCAGCACUUCUCCAGUAUGCUGCUAACAGGAUUUUUGAUCUGGGUAGUGGAGAUGCAGCAAGGCUGGAAGGGCUCAGAUGUGCUGAACAAUAGGCAAGCAAACAAGUUAGCCUUCACAAAGCUACAUCUGUUGGAAUUGCAUGGCCCUAAAGAGCUAAUCCCAAAUGGACCUGAAA